rnacentral:rRNA from 1 species
UGGGGAAUUUUGGACAAUGGGCGAAAGCCUGAUCCAGCAAUGCCGCGUGUGUGAAGAAGGCCUUCGGGUUGUAAAGCACUUUUGUCCGGAAAGAAAUCCUUGGCUCUAAUACAGUCGGGGGAUGACGGUACCGGAAGAAUAAGCACCGGCUAACUACGUGCCAGCAGCCGCGGUAAUACGUAGGGUGCAAGCGUUAAUCGGAAUUACUGGGCGUAAAGCGUGCGCAGGCGGUUUGCUAAGACCGAUGUGAAAUCCCCGGGCUCAACCUGGGAACUGCAUUGGUGACUGGCAGGCUAGAGUAUGGCAGAGGGGGGUAGAAUUCCACGUGUAGCAGUGAAAUGCGUAGAGAUGUGGAGGAAUACCGAUGGCGAAGGCAGCCCCCUGGGCCAAUACUGACGCUCAUGCACGAAAGCGUGGGGAGCAAACAGGAUUAGAUACCCUGGUAGUCCACGCCCUAAACGAUGUCAACUAGUUGUUGGGGAUUCAUUUCCUUAGUAACGUAGCUAACGCGUGAAGUUGACCGCCUGGGGAGUACGGUCGCAAGAUUAAAACUCAAAUGGAAUUGACGGGGUCAUAGCGGUUUCCU